UGGGGAAUAUUGGGCAAUGGGCGAAAGCCUGACCCAGCGACGCCGCGUGAGGGAAGACGGCCUUCGGGUUGUAAACCUCUGUUGCAGGGGAAGAAGGAAGUGACGGUACCCUGCGAGGAAGCUCCGGCAAACUACGUGCCAGCAGCCGCGGUAAUACGUAGGGAGCGAGCGUUAUCCGGAAUUACUGGGCGUAAAGGGCGCGUAGGCGGAAUGACAAGUCAGCAAGUGAAAGCGUUGGGCUCAACCCCAUGAUGCGGCUGAAACUGUUAUUCUAGAGGCAUGGAGAGGCAAACGGAAUUCCCGGUGUAGCGGUGAAAUGCGUAGAUAUCGGGAAGAACACCAGUGGCGAAGGCGGUUUGCUGGCCAUGAACUGACGCUCAUAGCGCGAAAGCUAGGGUAGCAAACGGG
rnacentral:rRNA from 1 species